AUUUAAAUAGCUUAAUGAAGUUAAAGAGCGUAACAUUGAAGAUGUUAAGGUGAUAAAUUUAUCUUUAAAUA
rnacentral:tRNA from 1 species